rnacentral:rRNA from 1 species
UACGUAGGGUGCGAGCGUUAAUCGGAAUUACUGGGCGUAAAGCGUGCGCAGGCGGUUGGUUAAGUCUUAUGUGAAAGCCCCGGGCUCAACUUGGGAAUGGCAUUGGAAACUGGCUGGCUAGAGUGUGGCAGAGGGGGGUGGAAUUCCGCGUGUAGCAGUGAAAUGCGUAGAGAUGCGGAGGAACACCGAUGGCGAAGGCAGCCCCCUGGGCUGACACUGACGCUCAGGCACGAAAGCGUGGGGAGCAAACAGG